rnacentral:rRNA from 1 species
UACGUAGGUGGCAAGCGUUGUCCGGAAUUAUUGGGCGUAAAGCGCGCGCAGGCGGUCCUUUAAGUCUGAUGUGAAAGCCCACGGCUCAACCGUGGAGGGUCAUUGGAAACUGGGGGACUUGAGUGCAGGAGAGAAGAGUGGAAUUCCACGUGUAGCGGUGAAAUGCGUAGAGAUGUGGAGGAACACCAGUGGCGAAGGCGGCAUCCUGGACCGGCAUUGACGCUGAGGAGCGAAAGCCAGGGGAGCAAACGGGG